rnacentral:rRNA from 1 species
UACGAAGGGUGCAAGCGUUGUUCGGAAUUACUGGGCGUAAAGGGUUCGUAGGCGGGAAUGUAAGUUGAAUGUGAAAACCCCGGGCUUAACCUGGGACGUGCAUCCAAAACUGCGUUUCUUGAGUGUCUGAGAGGGUCGUGGAAUUGCUGGUGUAGGAGUGACAUCCGUAGAGAUCAGCAGGAACACCGGAGGCGAAAGCGACGACCUGGCAGAACACUGACGCUGAGGAACGAAAGCGUGGGGAGCAAACAGG